rnacentral:rRNA from 1 species
CCGCGUCACACCACGAGAGUUUGUAACACCCGAAGUCGGUGGGGUAACCUUUAUGGAGCCAGCCGCCGAAGGUGGGACAAAUGAUUGGGGUGAAGUCGUAACAAGGUAGCCGUAUCGGAAGGUGCGGCUGGAUCACCUCCUUU